rnacentral:rRNA from 1 species
CAGUAGCCGCGGUAAUACGUAGGGUGCAAGCGUUAAUCGGAAUUACUGGGCGUAAAGCGUGCGCAGGCGGUUAUAUAAGUCAGAUGUGAAAUCCCCGGGCUCAACCUGGGAACUGCAUUUGAGACUGUAUGGCUAGAGUGUGUCAGAGGGGGGUAGAACUCCACGUGUAGCAGUGAAAUGCGUAGAUAUGUGGGGGAAUACCGAUGGCGAAGGCAGCCCCCUGGGAUAACACUGACGCUCAUGCACGAAAGCGUGGGGAGCAAACAGGAUUAGAUACCCGCGUAGUCCCUGUCUCUUAUAC